AACCGUUUGCUGCAUUUCAGCUUUUGACUCGGGCAGAGAGGGGAGGGGGAUAUCACAGCUGACAGAUUGGAUAGAGAUGAUGACUCCCAUUUUUGACUCGGAGACAGCUGGGUGUCGCUGUGUCGAGCGAAGAGAGGGGGACAGAGCGACUACAGAGCAGGGAGACACAUGGCCUGCAUUUCAGCUUUGACUCGGGGAGAGAGAGGGGAAUGGGACAUCACGGCUGACGAAUUUGAGAGAGAUAAUGGCUCCCAUUUUUGACUCUGAGACAGCUGGGUGUCGCUGUGGCGAGCGGAGAGAGGGGGGCAGAGCGACUACAGAGGAGGGAGACACAGGCCCUGACAGAUUGGAGACGGAUGGGAGCUACGGAUUUGGAUUGAGUGAGAGAAAGAUUUUGCUAGCUCAUCUGCCAGGAUCUAUGGGAUUUUCUCCCAUUUUAGAGAGAGAGAUACAGAGCGGAAAGCAUGGGUGUGUGUAUUCUUUAGGGUUGACGGGUUACGCAGAGUCGGUGAGGAAGGGAUGCCUCAGGGACGAAUGGCAGGGUCUGGCCUUCAUUUAUGUAGCUCGAGAGCUUCGGUGAGAUGAAGGAGAGGAGCAGGGAGAUGGGCUCGAGUGGGCGAACGGCCGAAGAGAUCUUCAGGGAUCACAGUGGUCGGAGAACUGACGCCGUCCACGAUUUAACUAACGAGAGAGAGAGGUCGAGCAAGGUUUCGUCCAUUUCGGUCAACUUGGGCUACCCCCUAACGUUCGAUCCCUCUCCGAUCUCUUCUCUCGCAUAUGUCGUCUUACUCCACCGUUCACAUCAGGAAGGCCCGUGCAUGGUUUUUUGGGUGGGGAUUUCAAAUUUCAAGGGGGAGAGAGGUUGUGCUUCGUUUCAAUCAGGCCAAGCCUCUAUCUGCAAAUCGAGGCCCAGGUGAAGCAUAAGCAUUACAGGCCUGCAGUAAAUUCUAGGGAAAGAAGAAGGAAGGAAAUGCCGCGAGGUAUGUCACCAGGUCACAAGCUGUCAAGCAGCUUCAAGUCAGUCUUCCCUUCUUCAGGAAAUUGUGUAUUCUAAAGGGCGUGUUCCCCUGGGAGCUGAAGAAAAAGGUGAAAGGAAAUCACCAUACCUAUUAUCACUUGAAGGAUGUUUCUUUCAUUCAGCAUGAACCGCUACUCGAGCAGUUGAGAGAGAUAAGAGCAUACGAAAGAAAAGUAAAGAGAGCCGAUGCGAAGAAGAACAAGGAACGAGCUGCUCUCCUGAAAGAAAGAAGACCCACUUACAAAUUAGAUAGAAUUAUUUUGCAGAGAUGUCCAAAAUUCAUUGACACACUUAGAGAUAUAGACGACUGCCUCAGCUAUUGAGGACAGAAUUGAUGUCAAACGCAUUCAUAACUGUCGAAGGUUGAGUCAUGAAUGGCAAGCUUACAUAUCUUGGACUCAUAAAUUGCGUAAAGUCUUUGUAUCUGUUAAAGGCAUAUAUUAUCAGUUUGAGUCUACUGAGUUCUGCGGAUUCACUCAAUUGCAAUCAUCUCUUCUGCAACACUUGCACCAUGAAGUCAAUGAAAUCGGGUUCCAUUUGUCCAGUUUAUAAAAUUCCAUAUCGACGCAGAGGCACUGGGAAGACGACUCUGUCUACGCAUCAUAAUCGGUAACUAAUUGGAUUUGAUGAGCACUGCUGGAGCAACAAUGUUAUGUCAAACAUUGAAGGUGGUUGCUAUGCCAAAUGCAUUGAUUUGUCAAAGAACUGGGAACCAGAUAUUUGGAAUGCUAUCAAAUUUGGGACUGUUUUGGAGAAUGUUGUGUUCGAUGACCAUAAUUGAGAAGUUGAUUACUCAGAGAAAUCUGUUACUGGUUGUGAUUGAGGGAGCUUGAAAUGGCAGUUGGAUUUCACGUCGUUGUUAAACAAGAAGCUAAAGCGUAAUCAAAGGAUUUGUUGACCUAUUGUGGAAGAUUCUUAUUCAGUUGCUAUUUUAAAUUUGGGCUUCCGUUUGGUUGAGCAUCCUUUUCUCCAAAAGGGGAUGGACAGAAGUCCCCGGCAGCAAUCUCUUUGUGAUCAUUGCUGGGAUAAUAUCGUGGUCAUUUUGAGUUCGAAUUCAGCUAGCAUGUGCUUGAAUUGUAGAUCUGUGCAAGCUAUCCAUAUAUGGAUCAAUGCUAUGGACUCUUCUCAACCUAUGGACCUCAAAUUUCAGUGCGUCUUCCAUCAUUUAUCCUACCUGACUAUGUAUGGAGCUAUUACAUUUGCAAUCAUAUUAAUUCCUUGAAAACAAUAUUUAUAUUUCUUUGUAAACUACUAAUUUUGGAAUAUACUAUCGUUUUCGUGCUGGUACAUUAAAAUGAAAAUAUGAAAAGUAGUCUCAAUCUUCUGAGGAAGAGAGGUGUUGGGUGUCUGAGACAAGGGGUUUCAGGUUAGGGAACCAAAACGUUCAGUUUCGUCCUAUUCAUUGUACAAUGUCUUUUCAAGUUAGCUCAGUUGAAUGUAUAUAAAAACGAAGAUGCAUAUCUUACCGAUUUCAUUCACUCA